ensembl:lncRNA
GGAGAAAAGGGGAAUCUAAAACUUUGAUUUUCGUCUCUUGACAGGAGGGGACUGGGCCUGAGAACUCUGGAGGUCUUUGGUAAGUAAUCACCAGGGGAGGGGGGGGGGCAAGGGCUCUUCCGUCCUUUCCCAGAACUUCCACCAGUCUCCUGACUAAUCCUAAGUCCUUCCUUAACUGCUUGAUUUCCCGUGGCGCCCUUCUCUUCUCCUGAAGGCAACAAGAACACACAAUGAGUAAUGGGUAAAACGAAGAAUGCCUGGUUCCUAGCUUCUUUGCUCUUUGGGUUGUACUUCACCAGCGUCUGGACAGCUCCUCCACUCCCAUAGACCUCCUAGGUAGAUAUUGGUAACACCCAAAUCCCUGAGGGCACAGGUAAGGAACAACGGUAAGGUAACUAGGCCAUGCCCCUGGAUGUCCACCGGUAUAUCAGAAGCGAGUAACUUUUUACUCGUAUCACAGAUAGAUAUUGAGCAAGGUGACUGACUCUUCACACUAGACUUACUGAGCGGGUUCCAGAGCAAUGGCUUUUAACUCGUGCAGGCGGGUAAGUAUUCAACAAGUAGCUGUAUCUUCACACUGGGCUUUACAGGGCGUAUUCAAGGGCAAUAGCUUUUAGCUCGUACAGACAGGUAAGUAUUCAACAAGUAACUGUAUCUUCACGCUGGGCUUUACAGGGCGUAUUCAAGGGCAAUAGCUUUUAGCUCGUACAGACAGGUAAGUAUUCAACAAGUAACUGUAUCUUCACGCUGGGCUUUACAGGGCGUAUUCAAGGUCAGUAGCUUUCCCCACAAUAUCCGCACAAUACCUUGUUUUGCUUUCACACUUCACCUUCGAGCUGGGUCUGGAGAACGGAGUUAUAGGCGGGCGUAAGUGGAAUAGGUGGGCACCGCCACGGCAGCCUACGUUCUCUCCAACAGCAACUUUUCUCGGCCUGGAGGGCGAGUACAGACAACAGGGACACGGCACAGCACUGCAAAGCUUUGGUGUACACACGUCAAAGACAGACUCACCCACUGCACUACACACACUUCAGUGAUUUUUAAGGUCGGUACUCCACGCCCGGUCGGAUUUCGUCCUGGAGGAGUUUGCAGUCGCUGUCACGGUAAGUGCUCCAAACUUUACGGUGUGGCCACAGCCAAAUAACAACCAUUCACCCACGCUCUACUUCGGCUCACCCACUCGUCUCGUCCUCCAACGAUGGGGCCGCUCAACAAGCUGUUAAUCACUCCAACAGGUAUGAGUUAUCCAUAUCCAAGUAUGAGCAAUGAUAUGUAAGCAAUCCAAUGUACUCACAGUCUUCGUGAUACUGAUCUUCUCCCGCUCUCUUUCUCAUCCAGAUAUAAACAACAAUCUAAGCAAUCCAAUGUACUCACAGUCUUCGUAAUACUAAUCUUCU